rnacentral:rRNA from 1 species
UACGUAGGAGGCGAGCGUUGUCCGGAGUUACUGGGCGUAAAGGGUGCGCAGGCGGCGGUUCGCGUGGCGAGAUGAAAUCUCCUGGCUUACCUGGGAGGAUGGUCGCCAGACGGGAUCGCUUGAGGGUCGGAGAGGGGCGUGGAAUUCCGGGUGGAGCGGUGAAAUGUGUAGAGAUCGGGAGGAACACCUGUGGCGAGAGCGGCGCACUGGACCACAUCUGACGCUGAGGCGCGAAAGCUAGGGGAGCAAACAGG